UGUAAGCGUAUACCAAAGUUGUUGCAGUUAAAACGUUCGUAGUCGGAAUUUGGCAGUUCCGGAUGUGUGCACGUCGUGUGCGCACUUCGCGGGGAUUGCUUUUGUGGUCUUGCGUAGGAUGAGGCACUUUUAUUAGUGAACGUCCUCACGCAACCACUUUUUACUGUGAGAAAAUCAGAGUGCUCAAAGCAGGCAUUUGCCGUGAAUGUAUUAGCAUGGAAUAAUAGAAUAGGACUUGGUUCUAUUUUGUUGGUUUGUUGGGACUGAGUAAUGAUUAAGAGGGACAGUUGGGGGCAUUUGUAUUUCGGUGCUAGAGGUGAAAUUCUUAGAUUACCGAAAGACAAACUGCUGCGAAAGCGUCUGCCAAGGAUGUUUUCAUUGA
rnacentral:rRNA from 1 species